AUAAAGUCAUAAAAUAUCUAUAAUUCCGCUGUAGCACACAUGCUAAAUGUCCAAUCAUCAUUAAUUUGAUCUUACAAUAUUCCAGGUUCAAACUCCGGCAGCGGAAAUAUAUUUUUAAAGUAUAAUACAUUUGUGGUUUUUGUCUAUUUCAUUAAAACUGGCUUCCACAAACAGUGAUAAAAAAAAUUGUGAAAAUU
rnacentral:sRNA from 1 species